GCCACAUGAUGAGAGAGAUGAGUUGCGGAUCGCUGAGCGAAUGUCGACCCAACAUCUAUCACCCCUCUCUGAUGGCU